rnacentral:rRNA from 1 species
UACGGAGGGUGCGAGCGUUAAUCGGAAUUACUGGGCGUAAAGGGUGCGUAGGUGGUUGAAUAAGUUAUAUGUGAAAUUCCUGGGCUUAACCUGGGGUGGUCAUAUGAUACUGUUUGACUCGAGUAUGGGAGAGGGUAGUGGAAUUUCCGGUGUAGCGGUGAAAUGCGUAGAGAUCGGAAGGAACACCAGUGGCGAAGGCGGCUACCUGGCCUAAUACUGACACUGAGGCACGAAAGCGUGGGGAGCAAACAGG